GUGGAUGAGGGAGGGAGAGUGUGCUUUAAUUUUUCGAUUUAAUGCAAUUCUGGCUUCCCGAUUUCAAACAGCUUCUUUUGUGUUAGCAUAGUUUAUUUUGGGAAAACAGUAGUCCUUUGGGAUUUCUUCCUACUCCUCUUCUCUUUCUCUUUGUAUAAGGGGGCCUGAGUUGAAGGGGAAGCUCAUGUAACAUCCUGGUGGAGGGCAAGGAGUUCUCAAGAGUGUCCCUCGGUCCUUUCUGGCCUCACCUGAGUGACGCCUCCUCUUUCCUGGUACUAAGCAUCCUGCAGGUGUGUCUGCUGAAGGCUCCUGUGUACAUCUGUGGACAAGGCCUCUGCCUCUGCCUGGAGGUCCCUGGAUCUGGAGCCUCCUGUACUGACUGUCUUUCUUCUGAUCUCCUGGUCUUUUCAGCAUUGCUGAGGUCCCCAGAGGCUGGGAAACCUUCUGCCACUAUCUCCCGCCCUGGCUCAUUGUGCAAGGCUCUGGGUGGCUGCUUUUGUGCUCUCCCUCCAUCUGUGCUUCUCUACUUGCUCCCAGUCUACACUGGACGAUCUAGCCCCCAACGCAGGCCUUCUCCAAAGGCUUUCAGGCUUUUCAGGCAAUGCCCAAGGACAGAGAAACCUGACCUCAGUAUUCUAGUCAUUUCUCAAACCUAUAGAGAGUUUCUAACCACCUCCUCUCACUGCCACUCUCAAGGUUCUCCUGAGGGGUGGUGGACAAGGAAGCGAGGACCCUCCUCGGGCUGACCACUGCCCGUUCUCUCCUCUGUUCCUGAUCCCUCCAAUUCCCUUCUGGGUGGAAGGAGAUCCCCAUAAUGUCAGGUCACCCUCUUUCCCCACUUUAUGGAAGGUUUCUACUGAUUUAUUGAUGCAUUUCUACUUUAUUGCAUUAUUGAUGCAUUUCUUUGGUCUAGGUGGAACUAAACUUACCUUUGCUCAGCACAGUAGGCCUUGGAGGUACAACAGGGUGUAUUUCAGAAGGAGUAUCCGCAAUGUCUAAAGGGGCAAGCCUCUGAAAGUCUCCUUUGACGUAGUGAGUCUCUGCAGACCAUUGGUCGGGUCUGUUGUUGACAGGCCCAGAUGUGAGUUGGAAGAGCUGGAGCCCCAUGGAGUCAGGUUCCCCACAUCCUGCCUUCUCUGUCCAGCUCGACAAAACCUAUCACUGUGUCACGUUUCAGUCCCACAGUGAGUGUUGACUGAAUGACUGGCUGGCUGAGAGAAGCCACAGGGCAGACGGAUGCAUCCGGCAAUCAGAACUGGAGAGCACUGUUGUGGAGUCGAAAUGAUGGUGAACCAUGAACCCUAGAGGCAGUUGUGGCAUGUGGGAUGCCGCCUCAGCGUGGUUUGAU
rnacentral:lncRNA from 1 species